GAUGAACGCUGGCGGCGUGCCUAACACAUGCAAGUCGAACGAAGCAUUUCUUAUGAAGUUUUCGGACGGAUUAAAUUAUGACUUAGUGGCGGACGGGUGAGUAACGCGUGGGUAACCUGCCUCAUACAGGGGGAUAACAGUUGGAAACGACUGCUAAGACCGCAUAAGCCUACAGUACCGCAUGGUACGGGGGGAAAAAAUUUAUUGGUAUGAGAUGGACCCGCGUCUGAUUAGCUGGUUGGUGAGGUAACGGCCCACCAAGGCGACGAUCGGUAGCCGGCCUGAGAGGGCGGACGGCCACACUGGGACUGAGACACGGCCCAGGCUCCUACGGGAGGCAGCAGUGGGGAAUUGUUCGCAAUGGGCGCAAGCCUGACGACGCAACGCCGCGUGGAGGAUGAAGAUCUUCGGGUCGUAAACUCCUGUCGAAUGGGACGAAUGGUCCGGCCGUGAACAACGGCUGGAAAUGACGGUACCGUGAGAGGAAGCCCCGGCUAACUCCGUGCCAGCCGCCGCGGUAAUAC
rnacentral:rRNA from 1 species